rnacentral:misc_RNA from 1 species
GAUGAAGAACGCAGCGAAAUGCGAUAAGUAAUGUGAAUUGCAGAAUUCAGUGAAUCAUCGAAUCUUUGAACGCACAUUGCGCCCGCCAGUAUUCUGGCGGGCAUGCCUGUUCGAGCGUCAUUUCAACCAUCAAGCCCCCCGGCUUGUGUUGGGGACCUGCGGCUGCCGCAGGCCCUGAAAACCAGUGGCGGGCUCGCUGUCACACCGGGCGUAGUAGAUUUUAUCUCGCUCAGGGCGUGCUGCGGGUUCCGGCCGUUAAAAAGCCUUUUUUACCCAAGGUUGACCUCGGAUCAGGUAGGAAGACCCGCUGAACUUAAGCAUAUCAAUAAGCGGAGGA